UACGUAGGUGUCAAGCGUUGUCCGGAUUUAUUGGGCGUAAAGCGCCCGCAGGCGGCUUGCCAAGUUCGAUGUGAAAUCUCCCGGCUCAACUGGGAGGGUGCAUCGAAAACUGGCAGGCUUGAGGCAGGGAGAGGGAUGUGGAAUUCCAGGUGUAGUGGUGAAAUUCGUAGAUAUUCGGAGGAACACCAGUGGCGAAGGCGGCUCACUGGCUCGGUACUGACGCUGAGGUGCGAAAGCGUGGGGAGCAAACAGG
rnacentral:rRNA from 1 species